UACGUAGGGUGCGAGCGUUAAUCGGAAUUACUGGGCGUAAAGCGUGCGCAGGCGGUUCUAUAAGACAGAUGUGAAAUCCCCGGGCUCAACCUGGGAACUGCAUUUGUGACUGUAGAGCUGGAGUACGGCAGAGGGGGAUGGAAUUCCGCGUGUAGCAGUGAAAUGCGUAGAUAUGUGGAGGAACACCGAUGGCGAAGGCAAUCCCCUGGGCCUGUACUGACGCUCAUGCACGAAAGCGUGGGGAGCAAACAGG
rnacentral:rRNA from 1 species